rnacentral:rRNA from 1 species
UACGUAGGGGGCUAGCGUUGUCCGGAAUCAUUGGGCGUAAAGCGCGUGUAGGCGGCCCGGUAAGUCCGCUGUGAAAGUCGGGGGCUCAACCCUCGGAUGCCGGUGGAUACUGUCGGGCUAGAGUACGGAAGAGGCGAGUGGAAUUCCUGGUGUAGCGGUGAAAUGCGCAGAUAUCAGGAGGAACACCUGUGGUGUAGGCAGCUUACUGGACCACUUCUGACGCUGGGACACGAAAGCGUGGGUAGCAAACAGG